UAAGGAAUAUUGGACAAUGGAGGCAACUCUGAUCCAGCCAUGCCGCGUGAAGGAAUAAGGCCCUAUGGGUUGUAAACUUCUUUUAGACGGGACAAAACCCCUUUACGUGUAAAGGGUUGAUGGUACUGUCAGAAUAAGCAUCGGCUAACUUCGUGCCAGCAGCCGCGGUAAUACGAAGGAUGCAAGCGUUAUCCGGAAUUAUAGGGUUUAAAGGGUGCGUAGGCGGACUAAUAAGUCAGUGGUGAAAGCCUGCAGCUUAACUGCAGAAUUGCCAUUGAUACUGUUAGUCUUGAGUACAGUUGAGGUAGGCGGAAUGUGUCAUGUAGCGAUGAAAUGCUUAGAUAUGACACAGAACACCGAUUGCGAAGGCAGCUUGCUAAGCUGUAACUGACGCUGAGGCACGAAAGCGUGGGGAGCAAACA
rnacentral:rRNA from 1 species